rnacentral:rRNA from 1 species
AUUGAACGCUGGCGGCAGGCCUAACACAUGCAAGUCGAGCGGGGUUUUCGGACCUAGCGGCGGACGGGUGAGUAAUGCGUAGGAAGCUACCCGAUAGAGGGGGAUACCAGUUGGAAACGACUGUUAAUAUCGCAUAAUGUCUACGGACCAAAGUGUGGGACCUUCGGGCCACAUGCUAUCGGAUGUGCCUACGUGGGAUUAGCUAGUUGGUGAGGUAAUGGCUCACCAAGGCGACGAUCCCUAGCUGGUUUGAGAGGAUGAUCAGCCACACUGGAACUGAGACACGGUCCAGACUCCUACGGGAGGCAGCAGUGGGGAAUAUUGGACAAUGGGCGCAAGCCUGAUCCAGCCAUGCCGCGUGUGUGAAGAAGGCCUUCGGGUUGUAAAGCACUUUCAGCGAGGAGGAAGGGGUGAGUGUUAAUAGUACUCAUCUUUGACGUUACUCGCAGAAGAAGCACCGGCUAACUCUGUGCCAGCCGCCGCAGUAAGAC